rnacentral:rRNA from 1 species
GAUGAACGCUGGCGGCGUGCCUAAUACAUGCAAGUCGAGCGAACGGACGAGAAGCUUGCUUCUCUGAUGUUAGCGGCGGACGGGUGAGUAACACGUGGAUAACCUACCUAUAAGACUGGGAUAACUUCGGGAAACCGGAGCUAAUACCGGAUAAUAUUUUGAACCGCAUGGUUCAAAAGUGAAAGACGGUUUUGCUGUCACUUAUAGAUGGAUCCGCGCUGCAUUAGCUAGUUGGUAAGGUAACGGCUUACCAAGGCAACGAUGCAUAGCCGACCUGAGAGGGUGAGCGGCCACACUGGAACUGAGACACGGUCCAGACUCCUACGGGAGGCAGCAGUAGGGAAUCGUCCGCAAUGGGCGAAAGCCUGACGGAGCAACGCCGCGUGAGUGAUGAAGGUCUUCGGAUCGUAAAACUCUGUUAUUAGGGAAGAACAUAUGUGUAAGUAACUGUGCACAUCUUGACGGUACCUAAUCAGAAAGCCACGGCUAACUACGUG